rnacentral:rRNA from 1 species
AUUGAACGCUGGCGGCAUGCCUUACACAUGCAAGUCGAACGGCAGCACGGGGGCAACCCUGGUGGCGAGUGGCGAACGGGUGAGUAAUAUAUCGGAACAUGCCCUGAAGUGGGGGAUAACGUAGCGAAAGUUACGCUAAUACCGCAUAUUCUGUGAGCAGGAAAGAGGGGGAUCGCAAGACCUCUCGCUUUAGGAGUGGCCGAUAUCGGAUUAGCUAGUUGGUGAGGUAAAGGCUCACCAAGGCGACGAUCCGUAGCGGGUCUGAGAGGAUGAUCCGCCACACUGGGACUGAGACACGGCCCAGACUCCUACGGGAGGCAGCAGUGGGGAAUUUUGGACAAUGGGCGCAAGCCUGAUCCAGCCAUGCCGCGUGAGUGAAGAAGGCCUCGGUUGUAAGCUCUUCGUGGGAGAAUUAGCUCAGGAUAUACCUUGAGUAGAUGACGGUACCCGGCCAUAAGAAGCACCGGCUAACUACGUGCC